GGAUAUAUAGCUCAGUGGUAGAGCACAUGCUUAGCAUGCACAAGGUCCUGGGUUCAAUCCCCACUUCCUCCA
rnacentral:tRNA from 1 species